AGUGUUUGGCGUAAGGUUGCAUGGAGCUGCCAUUGGUACAGAUCUUGGUGGUAGUAGCAAAUAAUCGAAUGAGACCUUGGAGGACUGAAGUGGAGAAGGGUUUCGUGUGAACAGUGGUUGAUCACGAGUUAGUCGGUCCUAAGUUUAAGGCGAAAGCCGCUAAUAAAUUUAUAGUUCUUCACACUACUUAUGAAGUGGUAAGUUUAAAUGACUAUAAAUUUAAUUAAACGAAAGGGAAUACGGUUCCAAUUCCGUAACCUGUUGAGUAUACGUUUGUAAUAAAUAUGGUCAUUAUGAUCAUCCUGGUAACAGAAACAAUCAUAGAGAAGCCGUCGAGAGAUAUCGGAAGAGUUUUCUUUUCUGUUUUAUAAUUGUACUACCAUGGAAGUCUUUCGAAGAGAGAUAUGGUAGAUGAAUUAGAAGAGCAUGGCAUUUACUGCUGUGUCGAUAUUUUCUCCUCGGACCUUGAAAAUCUAUGAUUGGGCCACGCAAACUUCUCAACAGGCCGUACCGAUAUCCGCAGCUGGUCUCCAAGGUGAAGAGUCUCUAGUCGAUAGAAUAAUGUAGGUAAGGGAAGUCGGCAAAUUAGAUCCGUA
rnacentral:rRNA from 1 species